AAGACAAUGCUAUGUGUUCAUCAAACCAUUUUAUUUUUGUCCUGAGCACAUUGGAAGAUGCAUUUCCCAGUUUUCUUGCAGCUAGCGGCAACAUCACAAUGGAAGCAGUCUUUGUCUCUGAGUCCCCACUGGGAUUCUCUCAGUGGACAGCAUAGCGACCCAUUAGCUCCAGCGUUGGACUCUGACUGUGUCAAGAGUAGAAGUUUGAAAUGCAAUUCUUAUCCAUCAUAUUUCUCCAAUUUUUAACUCUCCUUUACUG